AGCGAACGCUGGCGGCGUGGAUAAGGCAUGCAAGUCGAGCGAUUCCCGCAAGGGGAUAGCGGCAAACGGGUGCGUAACGCGUAGGUAACCUACCCUAAAGUGUGGGAUAACCCAACGAAAGAUGGGCUAAUACCACAUGUGCUCGGAGAUUCACAUGGAUUUCCGAGGAAAGAUGGCCUAGACCGCAAGGUUGCUAUCGUUUUAGGAGGGACCUGCGUCCCAUCAGCUAGUUGGUAGGGUAACGGCCUACCAAGGCAUUUGACGGGUAGCUAACCUUAGAGGGUGGUUAGCCACACUGGGACUGAGACACUGCCCAGACUCCUACGGGAGGCUGCAGUCGAGAAUAUUUGGCAAUGGGCGAAAGCCUGACCAUGCGACGCCGCGUGCGGGAUGAAGGCCCUCGGGUCGUAAACCGCUGUUACGAGGAACGAAGGCAUUACGUUGUGAACAAUGGCGUAGGAUAGACGGUACCUCGAAAGAAAGCCACGCAUC
rnacentral:rRNA from 1 species